GCCCCGGGGCGGGGGGCGGGGGGGGGGCGGUUGUGUCAUUAUCCCUAAGCCCGCCCCCGUCCUGGACUUGAACCGUGAUCUGAACUAACUCGUUCUCUUUUUAGGCUCCAGCCGGUCGGCACUGGUUUCCCUCACUUCCCAGCUGAAAGGGAUGGAAGGAACUCAGGCAAAGAAGUCUGAAAACCAGCCAACCAGAGGAUGCUGGAGCUGUGACAUUCUGGGGCUUCUCUCGAGUUCUAAAAACGGAUCAUUCAAAAAACAACAAUCCACUCAGUCUGUUCGCAUAUAUGUCCCACCCGGACUGGGCACCGUCUCUGAGGACAGAGGACACCACGCCAGGAUUAUGUCGCCUCAUACAUAUGCUGGCCAAAAGACUGGGCACAGCCUAAAUGCCCCUUAACGGGGGAAUGGCCGAACAAGUCAAGAUAUUUCCACCCGAUGGAAUACUACGCAGCCAUAAAGAAGAACAAGGUGGGUUCUUACAUACCAAAACGGAAUGAUCUUCAGGCUAAACUAUAAAUCAGAAAAGGCAAGGCAUGAGGCCUACAGUGUGUUGUCACUUGUACAAAAAGGGGGAAAGUUUGUAUCUAUAUCUAUCUGUAUCUACUUGUUUAUAUAUGAAUGCCUCUGACAGACUAUCAUUUGUAUUAAAAGUGGAGAAUAUUAUCUUCAUAUUAAUAUAUGAACAAGGCAUUUAUCUAUCUUUAUAUGUCUCUUUUCUUUCUCUCUUUCUCCUUCUUUUCACAUCUAUCUCUUUAUAUGUUUAGGUACAAAUAAAAUCUCUCCAAAAGAAUUCAUAUGAAGCUGGUAACAGUGGCUGCCCCCAAGACAAGCUGGGGGUUGGGAGAAAUGUGUAGGACAGACGUUUUUUUACUGUCUACCUUCUUCCUCCCAUCGAAUUUUAAGGAUAUGACUGUAUUAGUUUCAAAACCAAAUCUGGUCCUUUAGAAUGUUUUGGGAAUUUAUGGUCUUAGAACAGGGGGUAAAUGUGUAGAACUUCAGACAGUCAGAACUUCCAUGUGUCAAAUUCUCAGGAAACUUCAUGUUCGAAAGUUCCAGAACCACAGUAAGCUGAGAGCUCUACAAUGACUGACAGGGGGCCAUCAACAGUCCCUCACCCCAGAAUGCCUGCAACCCAGACGGUCUCUGUGUGGAGGUUUAAAAGGUUACCACGUUCUAACCAUGGGAUGUUGGAGUCACAAGCUUCUUAGGGACUUUCUGGGCCAAUAUAUAUAUAUAUUUUUUUGGUAAGGAAGAUUGGCCCUGAGCGAAUCUUCCUCUAAUUUGUAUGUGGGAUGCCACCACAUCAUGGCUUGAUGAGUGGUGUGAGAUCUGUGCCCAGGAUCCAAACCUUCGAACCCUGGGCUGCCAAAGUGGAGCGCACAAACUUAACCACUACCCCACUGGGCCAGCACCCUAGUCUUGCUCUUUCAUAGGUGGGGAAAGAGUAAUGGCUUGACCAUCCAGAAGCCCACACUUCCUGCUUAGGGCGGAUGCUGAGCAUCCUUGCCACCCUCUCCCCCUGCUGGCACCCACCCCCGAGGACAGAACUUUGCCCCUGCAGAGAAGUGGGGCUGCAUCAACAAAGGAGAGUCGGAAACACCCGGGCAGUUCCUCCAACUGUUUACAGAGUUAUCACGUGACCCAGCACUUCCACUCCCAGGUAAAUGCCGGAGAGAAACGAACACAUCCACCCACACAAAAACCCGCACAUGAAUGUUCACAGCAGCCGUGGUGGAAACAACCCAAAUGUCCACCAGCUGAUGACGGAGACACAAAACGCGGUACCUGCAUGCAGAGGAAUAUUACGCGGCCAUUAAAAGGGAUGAAGCCCUGAUCCAGGCUACCACGUGGACAGACUCUGAAAACAUUAUCCUAAGCAAAGGAAGCCAGACCCCAAAGGCCAGAGACCGUAUGACUCUGUUUACACGAAAUGUCCAGAACAGGGAAAGAGAGAGAGACAGAAAAUAGAUUAGGAGUUGUCAGGGGCUGGGGUUGGGGUGGAUGGGGGAUUGGAGGCUGAUGGCUAAGGGUUCUGGAGUUUCUGUCUGGGCCAACGAGAAUGUUCUAAAGUUGACUGUGGUGAUGGAGCACCACCCCAUAAAUGUACUAACACCACUGAGCUGUGCACUUUAAACGGGUGAAUUGCAUGCUAUGUGAAUUAGGUCUCAAUAGAGCUGCUAAAAAAAAUAAUGGGGAAGAUGAACAUUUGAUGAGGGUGUAGGGAAGAGAACUCUUGGAAGUUUCUGUGCCUGAUUUGUGGGAUUGGUGGUGGCAUCUACUUAUUUUCUGCAGAGGAGACACCUGUCAGUUGUAGAAUGUGGGGUAUAAUCAGGUGUCUGCACAGCCCUUUUCUACUAGUAAGGGCCUCCCUUCAUCUCAGUGUGGAGGAGAGGCCAGAGGGCAGGCUCUCAGCAGCCACUUUGUACAAUGUGUCCUCCUGCGUCCUAGUCAAUAUGGAUUAAUCUCAACUGGACCCUGAUAUCAGAGCUCCAUCCCUGACAAGUGGAUCAAAGAGAUUCCAGCUCCCAUUUGGGCUGGUCUCUAAAACCAACAUGUAAGGAGCUGGCAAAAGGAUUCGGUGAGAUAAGUAAAAAAGAAAGGAAAAUCGAGACAGGCAGAGUGGAAGCAAGACACAGAGUGUUUGCUCUGCAUCUGGCUGCUUUUCCAGUUUCUAAUCCCUUCCUGAGCUUGCCGCCUCCAAGUUCCACACAAUGUCCCUGCGCCUUUAUAAGAAAUUCGUCCCUUCCCUGUAGUCGGCUUGAGCAGGUUUCUGUCGCUUGCAGCCAGAGAACCCUGACGUGACACAGGUCUGAGGCCUCGGGGCCAGAGAUGGCGUGUGCGGGUGCAGGC